AACGAACGCUGGCGGCAGGCCUAACACAUGCAAGUCGAACGCACCGCAAGGUGAGUGGCGCACGGGUGAGUAACACGUGGGAAUGUACCCUUUGGUUCGGAAUAACGUUUGGAAACGAACGCUAAUACCGGAUGAGCCCUGCGGGGGAAAGAUUUAUCGCCAAAGGAGCAGCCCGCGUCUGAUUAGCUAGUUGGUGGGGUAAAGGCCUACCAAGGCGACGAUCAGUAGCUGGUCUGAGAGGAUGAUCAGCCACACUGGGACUGAGACACGGCCCAGACUCCUACGGGAGGCAGCAGUGGGGAAUAUUGGACAAUGGGCGCAAGCCUGAUCCAGCCAUGCCGCGUGAGUGAUGAAGGCCUUCGGGUUGUAAAGCUCUUUCGCACGCGACGAUGAUGACGGUAGCGUGAGAAGAAGCCCGGCUAACUCGUGCCAGCAGCCGCGGUAAU
rnacentral:rRNA from 1 species